rnacentral:tRNA from 1 species
AGAAGUUUAGGAUAUAAAUAGUCCAAGAGCCUUCAAAGCCCUAAGAAAACGAACAAGUUUAACUUCUGC